rfam:Felis catus isolate Cinnamon breed Abyssinian chromosome B3, whole genome shotgun sequence.
GCCUGGGUAGCUCAAUUGGUUAAGCAUCUGACUUUCGCUCAGGUCAUGAUCUGAGGGUUUGUGGGUUCGAGCCCCGCGUCGGGCU